GGGGGUGCCAGGUAUCGAUAGGAAGUAAUCUUAAAAUAGGCAAGUCAAGCGGAAUCUUGUUAACUUCCAUAAAAUAAUUGCCAACUUAAAAGUUGCUCCUGUUUACGUUUAAGUAAGCAGCGCCUGCUUAAUUGAUUCUCGAUAGAUUAGGCAGGUGUCAUUAAUCGAGAUAGACAGAGCUUGCGUUAGGCAGUUCUGUUUGAAAUUUACUAACUAGAGAUAAUGGGAUUUUGCCUUUUUUAGACCUAUUAUCUCGAAUCUCCAAAAAAAAGCUAAACUUGUAGAAUACUUUGAGAGAGCUUUCUAGACGCGGGUUCGAUCCCGCCACCUCCACCA
rnacentral:tmRNA from 2 species